CUUAUAGUUAAAUCAGUUAUAAAUGUAUUUCAGGACGUCAAAUCCAUUCAUUGUUAGUGUAUAUCUGCAGUAAAGAGAGAGUAUCGAAUGGAGUAGCACACCCUGAUGAUCAGAAUGGGCCAUUUGAAAUAGUGGUCAGUGGAAGGGAUAAUGAACUAAAACAGAUCCACCCACAAGAACCAAAUGGAAAUGGUCAAAUAUCACCGUCUGGCAGCACUUCUGAUGCAGCAGAAGGAGAUCGUGAUGAUGAGCAAACUCUGCUUAAAAGACCUGAUGAAGGAAAUCUCAACUAGGAGAUUUAGUUUGAUAGUCCUUGGCUGGUGGAUGCACUAGCUUUUUUUUUCAUAGUUAUUGCUUCAACAGUGAAAUUCUCGAGCAUAUGAAGUACUAUAGUGUUGUUUGAAAUGAACAAAUUUUUACAAUAUUUCUUUGUCUUACUGUGCAGCUUUAUUGCAUAGAUCAGACGUGUGCUGCAAAUAGUUAAUUGUUAAAUUGUUAAGAGCGUAAUGUGUUAAAAAAAUGUUUGUGGGAAUGUUUGUUUCUAAAUGUGAAAACCUGCUUUAAGUUUAUGUUACGUGUUUUGUUAUUUUCCUUGAAGCAGAGUUUUAGAUUAAGGUUUUAUACUUCAUAGAACAAUGGUGUAUGAGUAUCAACAUGUAAUGUAUGUUAAAAUUGAGUGACUGAUAAGCCAGUAUUAGGCUGGGUAUUGAUCUGAUCUCAUUUUUAUAAAAAUUGUAGUUUAUCUCUUUAUUUUGUACCUGUCACUUUAAUAUAUAUUUGUACAAAGUAAAUAUUAUCACAACCAAAGAGAAAUGGUUGAAAGAAUGCUAGGAAAAAUGUCUCUAAACUAUCAUGUAUUUAAUUUCUUUGUAAUUGAUCACAAAACAAAUAGAUAAAUAGAGUUAGUCAUUAGACCGGUCUCACACCUAAGUGAUUUUCAAGAAUGACGUUGCUUGGUUACUUUACAAGAUAAGGGGACAUUACUCUUUGAUGUUAAAUCGGAGAUAUAUAUAUAUAUGUCCAGCAAUUAAACCUGAUAAAAGACAUUACAUCAGUUUAUUUUUUUAGGUUUGGAAAAAUCAAAAUGAAAGAAGAAAAUUACAAAUAAAAAAUUAGCACAGUUUCUAUCUUCUAUACAAUACACUGUUAUGACAAAACUGCAUGAAAAAAAUAUUUUUGAAAAAAGAAAUUAAAUGUCUGGCAUUAUAAUUUCUGUCCCAGUACUUACUGUUGACUGCAUUAUAUGUGUGGUUCAUUUUAUUGAUAAAAUACUCAUAGAUGUCUGGUGCAUGCUUGUAAACAGAUAUUAGGUGUAUUUUUAUUAUGUAUUGUGUAAAUAUUAUGUUAUUGUGUCAAUAGUAAAGCCAUCAAAGUGCAAUAUCUUUAAUAUUUUUAGUUAUGUUUUUACUGUAUUUUUAAGUGUAAUUUAUAUUCAGUAAUUUUAUUGUAAACUUAAGUAAUGUUACUACAGUAAAAAUAACAUAGAAUUGCUUUUGCACUUUGAUGUUAUUAGUAUUUGACAUGGAAUGUCAUUAGUGUAUCAACCAGAAUUGAUUUGCUAAAAGAAAAAAAACCUGUUUGUAUUUACAUAAACAGAACAGAACUUACAAUUAGGAUUUUUUAUUAGAAAACAUGAACAUGCUUUAAAGAAGGUCUAAAUUUAGUGGCUUUAGUUUAACACUUUCUUUGUUGAAUAUGGAGAAUUGAAUUUUGUAGAAGCAAUGUUAACAGGUGAUAUUUUUUGUCAUACAUUUUUUAUGCAAUUACCAUUGAUUAUACGCAGUAGCAUAGGCAAUAUAAUAUUUAUGAACUUUACUUGAAUGACUUCAUUUUUAAAUGUUUACUUAUAUUUUCAUCUUAUUAGGACUUUCUGAAAUAAACAGGUUUUUAAACUUACUUUAAAGGAUUAGAUUUUUAAAACAAAUUUUCAAUUUUAUUCAUGAUAUCUGUUUAGCAGCUGGUUAAGUAGUAAUUAUCUGAAGGGGGGCAAAAAACAAGGACUCAUGAUAAAGAAUUCUGAUGAAUUGUUUUAGAAAUACAAUUGGUACUUUUUGAAGGAUAUGCUAUAACUAAGCAUUUAUUUUUAGCUCACCUGUCAUGAAGUGACAAGGUGAGCUUUUGUAAUCGCCCAUCGUCCGUCAUCCAUCUGUCCACAAUGUCUUGUGACCACGAUAGAGACCUCAUUAUGCAAUUGAUUUUAAUCAAACUUGCACUCAACUUGUAUUGACGUAAUGUCUCGGUUCCUUUCUAAGACUGGCCAGAUCCCAUCAUGGGUUCCAGAGUUAUGGCCCAUUAAAGGGGCAAAAGUUGCUCUUUUGGCUUGUGAACACAAUAGAGACCACAUUUGCAAUCAACUUUAAUCAAACUUGCACACAACUUGUAUUGGCAUAAUAUCUCGGUUCCUUUCAAAAACUGGCCAGAUCCCAUCAAUGGUUCCAAAGGUUUGGCUCCUUAAAGGCCCAAAAUUUGCUAUUUUGGCUUUUGCAGUCAUAUAGAGACUUCAUUUAUGGUUUGAUUUGAUACAAACUUGCAAAAUAUCUUUAACAACAAUAAAUCUUGGAUUUCAUGAUGAAUCUGUCAGUUCCAGUCGAAGGUUCUGGAGUUACAGCCCCAGAUUGAUCCCUGAAAGAGCCAGUCUUUGUUAAUUUUUACCUGCACGAUAGAACAGACAUUUUACAUUCUAUUUUAUUCACACUUGUAUCCUUUUGAAAACUGGCUAGAUUCUAUCAUGGGUUCUAGAGUUACUGCCCCUGAAAGGGAUAAAAUUUUCUAUUUUGGCCCUUUCAGCCAUAAUAGAGGUUUCAUUUAUGUUUUGAUUUGAUACAAACUUGCGCAGAAUAUUUAUUUUGAUUAUUCCUAGGCCAAGUUCGAAACUGGGUCAUGUAGGGUCAAAAACUAGGUCACCCACACGAAUCAAAAGAAAAGCUUGUUAACACUGUAGAGGCCACAUUUAUGACCCUAUCUUCAUGAAACUUGGUAAGAAUGUUUAUCUUCAUGAUUCCUAGGCCAAGUACAAAACUUCAUGAAACAAGUUUCAUCUUGAUGAUUCCAAGGCCAAGUUUAACAGGUGAGUGAUAUAGGGUCAUCUUGACCCUCUUGUUUCAAAUUGUAUCUUCCAUUGAUUUCACCCUUUGUACCUUCUGUAGGAUAUGCAUAUAAGUAACAUAUCCAUUUUUAUAAGCAUAAAACAUAUCAUAAUAUGUGUGUUGUGUAUAUUUAGAAAUUUUCAUUGUUGAAGCAACAUAAAAACAUGCAGGCAUGUGUCAGUCUAGCCUGUGUUGUCUUAAGCUUACUGGAUAUGAAACAGAUUAAGCUACUGGUAGUUAAGGCUUAUAGGAAUCAAUGCAUAAAUAGUGUACAUGCAUAUGUAAUUUAGUUGUAUAAAUGCUAAAUAAACAAAAACAAAAAUGAAAUGUUUAAAAAAAAUACAAAAAUGAAAUAUUUAAAAAAAAAUACAAAAAAUGAAAUGGUAAAAAAAAUUUAAAAAAAAAUAAAUAAAAAAAGGAUGUUGUGAAAUGAAAUAAACAGAUAAUAUUAAAAGCAGAUAUGUUUCUUUGCACCAUUUAUCUUUAACAUGAAAUAUGAAAGUAAUGUACAAUAUGCAGGUUAUUAAUUGAACUUGAUUGUUCCAAAAACUUGAAUAUGAUGUAAGAUGUAAAGAGUAAAUGGCACAAGUC